rnacentral:rRNA from 1 species
AACGAACGCUGGCGGCAGGCUUAACACAUGCAAGUCGAACGCCCCGCAAGGGGAGUGGCAGACGGGUGAGUAACGCGUGGGAAUGUGCCCCAAGGUACGGAACAACAGCGGGAAACUGCUGCUAAUACCGUAUGUGACCGAGAGGUGAAAGAUUUAUCGCCUUGGGAUCAGCCCGCGUUAGAUUAGGUAGUUGGCGGGGUAAUGGCCCACCAAGCCUACGAUCUAUAGCUGGUCUGAGAGGAUGAUCAGCCACACUGGGACUGAGACACGGCCCAGACUCCUACGGGAGGCAGCAGUGGGGAAUCUUGGACAAUGGGCGCAAGCCUGAUCCAGCCAUGCCGCGUGAAUGAUGAAGGCCUUAGGGUUGUAAAGUUCUUUCGUCGGGGACGAUAAUGACGGUACCCGAAGAAGAAGCCCCGGCUAACUUCGUGCCAGCAGCCGCCGUAA